rnacentral:rRNA from 1 species
UACGUAGGGAGCGAGCGUUGUCCGGAUUUACUGGGUGUAAAGGGUGCGUAGGCGGCAAUGCAAGUCAGGCGUGAAAGCUCGGGGCUUAACCCUGAAACUGCGCUUGAAACUGUGUUGCUUGAGUGAAGUAGAGGUAGGCGGAAUUCCCGGUGUAGCGGUGAAAUGCGUAGAGAUCGGGAGGAACACCAGUGGCGAAGGCGGCCUACUGGGCUUUAACUGACGCUGAGGCACGAAAGCAUGGGUAGCAAACAGG